AUUGAACGCUGGCGGCAGGCCUAACACAUGCAAGUCGAACGGUAGCACAGAGAGCUUGCUCUCGGGUGACGAGUGGCGGACGGGUGAGUAAUGUCUGGGAAACUGCCCGAUGGAGGGGGAUAACUACUGGAAACGGUAGCUAAUACCGCAUAAUGUCGCAAGACCAAAGAGGGGGACCUUCGGGCCUCUUGCCAUCGGAUGUGCCCAGAUGGGAUUAGCUAGUUGGUGAGGUAAUGGCUCACCAAGGCGACGAUCCCUAGCUGGUCUGAGAGGAUGACCAGCCACACUGGAACUGAGACACGGUCCAGACUCCUACGGGAGGCAGCAGUGGGGAAUAUUGCACAAUGGGCGCAAGCCUGAUGCAGCCAUGCCGCGUGUAUGAAGAAGGCCUUCGGGUUGUAAAGUACUAUCAGCGGGGAGGAAGGCAAUGCGGUUAAUAACCGUGUUGAUUGACGUUACCCGCAGAAGAAGCACCGGCUAACUCCGUG
rnacentral:rRNA from 1 species